rnacentral:rRNA from 1 species
GGGGUCAGUAGGUUGGUCGUGCCACCGGUACGUACUGGUCUCACUGAUUCCUCCUUCCUGAAGAACCGUAAUGCCAUUAAUUUGGUGUUGCGGGGAAACAGGACUGUUACUUUGAAAAAAUUAGAGUGUUUAAAGCAAGCUAACGCUUGAAUACAUUAGCAUGGAAUAAUGAAAUAGGACGAUCGAUCCUAUUUUGUUGGUCUCUAGGAUUGACGUA